rnacentral:rRNA from 1 species
GCUCCUAGUACGAGAGGACCGGAGUGGACGCAUCACUGGUGUUCGGGUUGUCAUGCCAAUGGCACUGCCCGGUAGCUAAAUGCGGAAGAGAUAAGUGCUGAAAGCAUCUAAGCACGAAACUUGCCCCGAGAUGAGUUCUCCCUGACUCCUUGAGAGUCCUGAAGGAACGUUGAAGACGACGACGUUGAUAGGCCGGGUGUGUAAGCGCAGCGAUGCGUUGAGCUAACCGGUACUAAUGAACU